GCGUGCAUGCGAAGUAGAGGAUCUACAUUUCUAGGCCUCCGCGAAGGUUGAUUUCAGAUUUUUAGAUAUUUGAUCUCCUAUUCUACUACUAUCCAGGUAAGAAUUUGAUUCUUAUUCAUGUAUAUUUGUAAAAAAAUAUUUGAUGCAAACUGGGCUAUCUGAAGAGAAACAGUUUCCCUUCCCUUCAAUUGGUAUCAGAACAGACCUUUGAUACAUACAUGUAUAACUAAAUUUUUUUUAGAUUAUUUAUAUAUUGUAUAUAAUUGAGAUUUUAUGUUAGA
rnacentral:lncRNA from 1 species